GGGCGAUUAGCUCAGCUGGCUAGAGCGCCACUUUGACAUAGUGGAGGUCGUAGGUUCGAGUCCUAUAUCGCCCACCA
rnacentral:tRNA from 1 species